UACGAAGGGGGCUAGCGUUGUUCGGAAUUACUGGGCGUAAAGCGCACGUAGGCGGAUUGUUAAGUCAGAGGUGAAAUCCCGGAGCUCAACUUCGGAACUGCCUUUGAUACUGGCAAUCUAGAGUCCGGAAGAGGUUAGUGGAAUUCCCAGUGUAGAGGUGAAAUUCGUAGAUAUUGGGAAGAACACCAGUGGCGAAGGCGGCUAACUGGUCCGGUAACUGACGCUGAGGUGCGAAAGCGUGGGGAGCAAACAGG
rnacentral:rRNA from 1 species